rnacentral:rRNA from 1 species
CUACGGGUUGCAGCAGUCGAGAAUCUUUCACAAUGGGCGAAAGCCUGAUGGAGCGACGCCGCGUGGGGGAUGAAGGGCUUCGGUCCGUAAACCCCUGUCAUCUGUGAACAAACCUUUCUAUUUAAAAGAUGGAAAGCUGAUAGUAGCAGAAGAGGAAGGGACGGCUAACUCUGUGCCAGCAGCCGCGGUAAUACAGAGGUCCCAAGCGUUGUUCGGAUUCACUGGGCGUAAAGGGUGCGUAGGUGGCAAGGUAAGUUUGAUGUGAAAUCUCCGGGCUCAACCCGGAAAAUGCAUUGAAUACUAUCUAGCUCGAGGGUCGGAGGGGAGACUGGAAUUCUCGGUGUAGCAGUGAAAUGCGUAGAUAUCGAGAGGAACACCAGUGGCGAAGGCGAGUCUCUGGACGACACCUGACACUGAGGCACGAAAGCUAGGGGAGCAAACAGGAUUAGAUACCCGCGUAGUC